CUCCGCAGUUGAAAUCUUAGUAUAUAUUAUCAUUUUCUCUCACCCUCAUGGUCUAUCAAACCCUAGCCUUAUUUCUCAUUCAAGACUCCUCUCUUCUCCUCUCUUUUGCGUUUUGCUAGCUAUUGAUUUCUUCCCUUCUCAACUCCAUUCAUUUUUUUUUCUCCAGCAACAACAAGAGCCUCUACCUCUAUUCCCCUUCGAUUUCUUACCCUCCUUUCUGCUAUCUUUUCCUUUCGUCACUAUCAAAUUCCUUUUCAUCAAUAGUCGCUCCCCCCUCACUGGCCAUGUUGUCUCUCUUCUUGUACAUAUCUUGUGAUUAUUGGGAGUUACAGGUAGUACAAGCAAAUUAGGUGAACUUGUUGAUGGAGAGCUCUUCCUUUUGUUAAUUUGUUCUAGUUAAAAUUUUGAUGGUUUGUAAUAGUUAAUAUUAUAUUUAGGCAUUUAGUUAAUACAUCAAUUUUUUUUAAUUAUUUAUUUAUUUUUAUUUUUGAAGGCAUUUGCUGUAAGUUUUGUUCUUUUUUUUUUAGGCAUUUUAUGUUGUAAAUUUGUUCUUUUGAGCAAAGUGUCGAGCUAAACAUCUAGCCGCAACAGAAAAAGUAUUUGCCAGUUUUUAUCAGUUAGGAGCAAGGAAAAAUGAAGAGGCCAAGAAGAAUGACGACUUUUGAUUUUUUCAAGCAUAGUCAAAUUGCCAAUUGUUUGCUGAUCUACCUUCGUUAGUGAAGAAUUGGAAAGGGAGAUUUUUCAUCCUCCGAAGUGGGAAGGAAUUCCUCAGAAUUGGAAUAACCAAGCCAAUAAGACCAAAAGAAUGCCCCACUUGAACUUAAUCGAAGACACAUCGGUGGUCGAGCUCAAAGAACAGGGGGGAAAAGGAGCGCUUUAAAAUUGUAAAAGUCAUGCAAGCUAAACUAAACGGGUGGUUCAACACCUAUGUUGCCAAGAUGGUGAAGGAGCGGAAGCAUGGUAAUUGGUGCAUUGGACCAUUGAAUUUCAAAAAUUUUAUUUUAGGGUUUCAUGCAUCAUGCCAUGACUUUAAUCAUCUUGCAUGAUAGGAAGACAAAUGG
rnacentral:misc_RNA from 1 species